UUCUUCUCUUCAGAAACAGCAAGGCCUCCCAAGAGGAGUUAGCAAAGCCUAGUACAUCCAGCUGAGGCAGGUCCAAGCCCCUCCCCACUGCUCCAAGGCUGUGCAAGGCU